rnacentral:hammerhead_ribozyme from 1 species
AUGCGAAACCGGGGCUUUUGUGCCCUGGUCGCCAGGCGGUGGUGCGCCUGGCCUGAUGAGCAGCCAAAG